rnacentral:rRNA from 1 species
UACGUAGGGGGCAAGCGUUGUCCGGAAUCAUUGGGCGUAAAGAGCGUGUAGGCGGCUCGAUAAGUCUGCUGUGAAAGUCCAGGGCUCAACCCUGGAAGGCCGGUGGAAACUGUCGGGCUAGAGUCCGGAAGAGGCGAGUGGAAUUCCCGGUGUAGCGGUGAAAUGCGCAGAUAUCGGGAGGAACACCGAUGGCGAAGGCAGGUCUCUGGGCCACUACUGACGCUGAGAAGCGAAAAGCAUGGGGAGCGAACAGG